rnacentral:rRNA from 1 species
GAUGAACGCUGGCGGCGUGCUUAAUACAUGCAAGUCGAGCGAACAGACGAGGAGCUUGCUCCUCUGACGUUAGCGGCGGACGGGUGAGUAACACGUGGAUAACCUACCUAUAAGUCUGGGAUAACUUCGGGAAUCCGGAGCUAAUACCGGAUAAUAUAUUGAACCGCAUGGUUCAAUAGUGAAUGACGGUUUUGCUGUCACUACUAGAUGGAUCCGCGCCGCAUUAGCUAGUUGGUAAGGUAACGGCUUAUCACGGCAACGAUGCGUAGCCGACCUGAGAGGGUGAUCGGCCGCACGAGAGGUGAAACACGGUCCAGACGCCUACGAGAGGCAGCAGUAGGGAAUCUUCCGCAGUGGGCGAAAGCCUGACGGAACGACGCCGCGUGAGUGAUGGAGGUCUUCGGAUCGUGAAACUCGCUUAUGAGGGAAGAACAAAUGUGUAAGUAACUAUGCACGUCUUGACGGUACCGAAUCAGAAAGCCACGGCUAACUACGUG